rnacentral:rRNA from 1 species
GAUGAACGCUGGCGGCGUGCCUAAUACAUGCAAGUCGAGCGAACGGACGAGAAGCUUGCUUCUCUGAUGUUAGCGGCGGACGGGUGAGUAACACGUGGAUAACCUACCUAUAAGACUGGGAUAACUUCGGGAAACCGGAGCUAAUACCGGAUAAUAUUUUGAACCGCAUGGUUCAAAAGUGAAAGACGGUCCUGCUGUCACUUAUAGAUGGAUCCGCGCUGCAUUAGCUAGUUGGUAAGGUAACGGCUUACCAAGGCAACGAUGCAUAGCCGACCUGAGAGGGUGAUCGGCCACACUGGAACUGAGACACGGUCAAGACUCCUACGGGAGGCAGCAGUAGGGAAUCUUCCGCAAUGGGCGAAAGCCUGACGGGGCAACGCCGCGUGAGUGAUGAAGGUCUUCGGAUCGUAAAACUCUGUUAUUAGGGAAGAACAUAUGUGUAAGUAACUGUGCACAUCUUGACGGUACCUAAUCAGAAAGCCACGGCUAACUACGUG